GGAUCAGGGAGGAUCUGCCUCUGCGGUUUGCAGCUGCUUUGGAUCCCCCUUGAGAGCCCCCGGCAGAACCUGCUGACCUGGAGCCUCUGUGACCCUGCCCGUGCCCAGGAGAAGUGACCAGGCAUCCAACCUAUGCCCAGCCUGUCUGAAGCUGCCUUCUCCCUGAAACAAGAAUCCUGCACCCAGUGGACAAGCCAAGGCUUUGGAAAAGGAAAUCUAAAAGAAGGGAAGAAGUUGCCCUGAAUCUGGCAAAGAACGAAUUGUUCAACUCUGCUGUGGGAGAAGGCCCAAGUCUGGUGUGCUGUGUGAGCAUCCUCCCAGCAGGGCACAUGGAGAAAUUCAGGUGCAAAGGUACAGUCAAGAAGUGGUUUGUUAAUUGAUUGGUGCUGUCUCCUGGGACACAGGGAGUGGAGCCCUUGUUCUGUCAUCACAUACCUGGUGUUUCCAGGAACAGAGGAUUGCGGGAGUGCCAGAUAACACCAUUCCUUGUGUCUCUCAGGCUGUUCCACGUGUGAAACAGGAAAGUCCAAUGGCUUUAGUACAGAUGCUUGGUGGUUUUUGUUCCACUGUCUUGCCCGAGUGGUGGUGUGUGAAAUGUGGGAACUCAUUGCAAUAAAUAUGGA